UUCUGAAGGACAUAAGAAUUUCCCCCUUAACCCUAUCAGCUAACAUCUCAUAAAGAGUGAUUUUUGGACGGAGGAACAAGUUCUUUAAGAGAAGUGGCAGUGAUCCAGGGUCAGCCUGCAUUCAUUCCUCAAACCAAAAAGAAUUUCAAGGGACCAGUGCCAGUGACGCCCACUUCCAGGUCUACCACCUGGAAGGUGCUGAUGUGCUGGAACCAGGACCAGAUGGAGGAGGCGGUCAGGGGGAACUACAGCAGUGCUGAGAGGGAGG